rnacentral:misc_RNA from 1 species
GGUUAUUGCCAGGGUUUUUAUUUUUAUACUUUAAACUUUGAUUUUAUUUUUAUGUUUUUUAAAUAUUGGUGUUUUUGAAUGUGUUGUUUAAAUAACAUAAAAAAUAAAAUAUAUAUUGACAUGUAUUAAACAAAGAUAUAUAUUAUUUUAUGUUGUAUAAAUAAAUUGGCAAAAUAGAGAUGGAAGAUAAAAAUAUGGUCAAAGUAAUAAGAGUCUAUGGUGAAUGCCUA